GAUGAACGCUAGCGGGAGGCUUAAUACAUGCAAGUCGAGGGGCAGCAUGGGACUUCGGUCCUGAUGGCGACCGGCGAACGGGUGAGUAACGCGUACACAACCUACCCUUGAGUGGGGGAUAGCCUCGGGAAACUGAGAUUAAUACCCCAUAGUAUUGUUUUUAUGAUGUAUAGACAAUUAAAGCUCAGGUGCUCAAGGAUGGGUGUGCGUCCUAUUAGAUAGUUGGUGAGGUAACGGCUCACCAAGUCGACGAUAGGUAGGGGGCGUGAGAGCGUGACCCCCCACACGGGUACUGAGACACGGACCCGACUCCUACGGGAGGCAGCAGUAAGGAAUAUUGGACAAUGGAGGAAACUCUGAUCCAGCCAUCCCGCGUGCAGGAUGACGGCCCUAUGGGUUGUAAACUGCUUUUGUUAGGGAAGAAACGCUUAGAUUUAUCUGAGCCUGACGGUACCUAAAGAAUAAGCACCGGCUAACUCCG
rnacentral:rRNA from 1 species